rnacentral:sRNA from 1 species
UGUGUUCCUCAUGUGUGCAGUGUGUUUCUCAUGUGUGCAGUGAGUUUCUCA